rnacentral:rRNA from 1 species
UGCGCAGGCGGCGUCACGCGUGGAUAGUUGAAAUCUCCUGGCUUACCUGGGAGGGUGGUAUCCAGACGGUGGCGCUUGAGGGUCGGAGAGGGGCGUGGAAUUCCGGGUGGAGCGGUGAAAUGCGUAGAGAUCCGGAGGAACACCGACGGCGUAGGCAGCGCCCUGGACGACACCUGACGCUGAGGCACGAAAGCUGGGGAGCGAACA